rnacentral:rRNA from 1 species
GACGAACGCUGGCGGCGUGCCUAAUACAUGCAAGUUGAGCGCUGAAGGUUGGUACUUGUACCAACUGGAUGAGCAGCGCACGGGUGAGUAACGCGUGGGGAAUCUGCCUUUGAGCGGGGGACAACAUUUGGACACGAAUGCUAAUCCCGCAUAAAAACUUUAAACACAAGUUUUAAGUUUGAAAGAUGCAAUUGCAUCUCUCAAAGAUGAUCCCGCGUUGUAUUAGCUAGUUUGUGAGGUAAAGGCUCACCAAGGCGAUGAGACAUAGCCGACCUGAGAGGGUGGUCGGCCACAUUGGGACUGAGACACGGCCCAAACUCCGACGGGAGGCAGCAGGAGGGAAUCGUCGGCAAUGGACGAAAGUCUGAGCGAGCAACGCCGCGUGAGUGAAGAAGGUUUUCGGAUCGUAAAACUCUGUUGGUAGAGAAGAAAGUUGGUGAGAGUGGAAAGCUCAUCAAGUGACGGUAACUACCCAGAAAGGGACGGCUAACUACGUG